rnacentral:rRNA from 1 species
GACGAACGCUGGCGGCGUGCUUAACACAUGCAAGUCGAACGGAAAGGCCCUGCUUGCAGGGUACUCUAGUGGCGAACUGGUGAGUAACACGUUGGUGAUCUGCCCUGCACUUCUGGAUAAGCCUGGUAAACUGGGUCUAAUACCGGAUAGGAGCCAUUUUUAGUGUGUUUGUUGGAAAGUUUUUUCGGUGUAGGAUGAGCUCGCGGCCUAUCAGCUUGUUUGUGGGGUAAUGGCCUACCAAGGCGGCGACGGGUAGCCGGCCUGAGAGGGUGGACGGCCAAAUUGGGAAUGAGAUACGGCCCAGACUCCGAAGGGAGGCAGAAGGGGGGAAUAUUGCAAAAUGGGCGCAAGCCUGAUGCAGAGACGCCGCGUGGGGGAUGACGGCCUUCGGGUUGGAAAAUCAGUUCGCUAGGGACGAAGCUUUUUGUGACGGUACCUAGAUAAGAAGCACCGGCUAACUACGUG